UACAGAGGUCCCAAGCGUUGUUCGGAUUCAUUGGGCGUAAAGGGUGUGUAGGUGGCGCCGUAAGUCGGGUGUGAAAUUUCGGAGCUUAACUCCGAAACUGCAUUCGAUACUGCGGUGCUUGAGGACUGGAGAGGAGACUGGAAUUCAUGGUGUAGCAGUGAAAUGCGUAGAGAUCAUGAGGGAGACCAGUGGCGAAGGCGGGUCUCUGGACAGUUCCUGACACUGAGACACGAAGGCCAGGGGAGCAAACGGG
rnacentral:rRNA from 1 species